CCGUAAUCCGGGUUGCGGACAGUGUCUGGUGGGUAGUUUGACUGGGGCGGUCUCCUCCUAAAGAGUAACGGAGGAGCACGAAGGUUGGCUAAUCCUGGUCGGACAUCAGGAGGUUAGUGCAAUGGCAUAAGCCAGCUUGACUGCGAGCGUGACGGCGCGAGCAGGUGCGAAAGCAGGUCAUAGUGAUCCGGUGGUUCUGAAUGGAAGGGCCAUCGCUCAACGGAUAAAAGGUACUCCGGGGAUAACAGGCUGAUACCGCCCAAGAGUUCAUAUCGACGGCGGUGUUUGGCACCUCGAUGUCGGCUCAUCACAUCCUGGGGCUGAAGUAGGUCCCAAGGGUAUGGCUGUUCGCCAUUUAAAGUGGUACGCGAGCUGGGUUUAGAACGUCGUGAGACAGUUCGGUCCCUAUCUGCCGUGGGCGCUGGAGAACUGAGGGGGGCUGCUCCUAGUACGAGAGGACCGGAGUGGACGCAUCACUGGUGUUCGGGUUGUCAUGCCAAUGGCACUGCCCGGUAGCUAAAUGCGGAAGAGAUAAGUGCUGAAAGCAUCUAAGCACGAAACUUGCC
rnacentral:rRNA from 1 species